UACGUAGGGUCCGAGCGUUGUCCGGAAUUAUUGGGCGUAAAGGGCUCGUAGGCGGCCAACUAAGUCGGAUGUGAAAUCCCCAGGCUCAACUUGGGAACUGCAUCCGAUACUGGAUGGCUUGAAUUCGGGAGAGGGAUGCAGAAUUCCAGGUGUAGCGGUGAAAUGCGUAGAUAUCUGGAGGAAUACCGGUGGCGAAGGCGGGUCUCUGGGCCGUAACUGACGCUGAGGAGCGAAAGCGUGGGGAGCGAACAGG
rnacentral:rRNA from 1 species